rnacentral:rRNA from 1 species
UGUGUGUUAGUGGAAGCGUCUGGAAAGGCGCGCGAUACAGGGUGACAGCCCCGUACACAAAAAUGCACAUGCUGUGAGCUCGAUGAGUAGGGCGGGACACGUGGUAUCCUGUCUGAAUAUGGGGGGACCAUCCUCCAAGGCUAAAUACUCCUGACUGACCGAUAGUGAACCAGUACCGUGAGGGAAAGGCGAAAAGAACCCCGGCGAGGGGAGUGAAAAAGAACCUGAAACCGUGUACGUACAAGCAGUGGGAGCACGCUUCGGCGUGUGACUGCGUACCUUUUGUAUAAUGGGUCAGCGACUUAUAUUCUGUAGCAAGGUUAACCGAAUAGGGGAGCCGAAGGGAAACCGAGUCUUAACUGGGCGUUAAGUUGCAGGGUAUAGACCCGAAACCCGGUGAUCUAGCCAUGGGCAGGUUGAAGGUUGGGUAACACUAACUGGAGGACCGAACCGACUAAUGUUGAAAAAUUAGCGGAUGACUUGUGGCUGGGGGUGAAAGGCCAAUCAAACCGGGAGAUAGCUGGUUCUCCCCGAAAGCUAUUUAGGUAGCGCCUCGUGAAUUCAUCUCCGGGGGUAGAGCACUGUUUCGGCAAGGGGGUCAUCCCGACUUACCAACCCGAUGCAAACUGCGAAUACCGGAGAAUGUUAUCACGGGAGACACACGGCGGGUGCUAACGUCCGUCGUGAAGAGGGAAACAACCCAGACCGCCAGCUAAGGUCCCAAAGUCAUGGUUAAGUGGGAAACGAUGUGGGAAGGCCCAGACAGCCAGGAUGUUGGCUUAGAAGCAGCCAUCAUUUAAAGAAAGCGUAAUAGCUCACUGGUCGAGUCGGCCUGCGCGGAAGAUGUAACGGGGCUAAACCAUGCACCGAAGCUGCGGCAGCGACGCUUAUGCGUUGUUGGGUAGGGGAGCGUUCUGUAAGCCUGCGAAGGUGUGCUGUGAGGCAUGCUGGAGGUAUCAGAAGUGCGAAUGCUGACAUAAGUAACGAUAAAGCGGGUGAAAAGCCCGCUCGCCGGAAGACCAAGGGUUCCUGUCCAACGUUAAUCGGGGCAGGGUGAGUCGACCCCUAAGGCGAGGCCGAAAGGCGUAGUCGAUGGGAAACAGGUUAAUAUUCCUGUACUUGGUGUUACUGCGAAGGGGGGACGGAGAAGGCUAUGUUGGCCGGGCGACGGUUGUCCCGGUUUAAGCGUGUAGGCUGGUUUUCCAGGCAAAUCCGGAAAAUCAAGGCUGAGGCGUGAUGACGAGGCACUACGGUGCUGAAGCAACAAAUGCCCUGCUUCCAGGAAAAGCCUCUAAGCAUCAGGUAACAUCAAAUCGUACCCCAAACCGACACAGGUGGUCAGGUAGAGAAUACCAAGGCGCUUGAGAGAACUCGGGUGAAGGAACUAGGCAAAAUGGUGCCGUAACUUCGGGAGAAGGCACGCUGAUAUGUAGGUGAAGUCCCUCGCGGAUGGAGCUGAAAUCAGUCGAAGAUACCAGCUGGCUGCAACUGUUUAUUAAAAACACAGCACUGUGCAAACACGAAAGUGGACGUAUACGGUGUGACGCCUGCCCGGUGCCGGAAGGUUAAUUGAUGGGGUUAGCCGCAA